GAAAAAAAUAAUAAAAAUUGGUUCCUGAUAUUCUGAUUUUCUUUUCUUUUGCUUUCUUCUGAGAACUUUUAAGUUGCCUUCCCGUUGGAGAGGCCCUAUUUGGCGAUGAGUCUAAUCGGAGGUGAAAUCACUGAGGCUUCCUGUUUUUCUGACAUUCUUGCAUGGAAUCUAAGCCAGCGUCACUUGUGGAAGCUUUCCAUACCCGGUACUUCUUCGUUUCUUCCUGAUUUCCUGAUUUCCUUCCUGGUUUCUUGGUUCUCGGUCCAAUACUCUUUAUUUUAUGGAGAACACUCUGCUCCUCGCUCUUCAGCAAUUACUUCCAGUCCUCCAACUCGCAUCUAUUUUCCACCUGGCUCUGCAACUACUUGGCCGAUUGCUCCUUCCCUGUUCACUGCUGACAUAUCUAUUAUUAUAAUUUUUAUUAUUUUAGCUCUGGCCUCUUAAGCUCCCGCUCCAUUUCUUCCUUAUCUUGCAGAACGUUCUCCUGAUUUCCUCCUAUUUAUUUUCCUUCUAAUCCUUACAUUCCUUGGCCCAAUCUGAGCCAGCGUCACCUGUGGACACCUUUCUUCUGGUUAUCUCCUUAGUUCUGAUUCCUUUUCUGAUUCUCGUGUGUAUCCUCCUUUCUUAAUUAUUAUUUUGAUUUCAAAGUGCAGUUCUUACCUUCUUCAAUGCAUUCAGUGUUUGGUCCUUCUCUCCAAAUCCUUCCAAAAACGGAUUAUUCUACUUCUGCUCUCCUGGGUUUUUAAUGGGCUUGUUGCCCAUUUUUUUUUUUGUGAUCUGGAUGCCGAUCUCCUUUGCUUCUAUAACUAUUACUACUAUUCCUAUUACUACUACUCUAUUACUGGCCUAUUUUUCCAUAUUUUCCAGAGCAGAUAAUUCUUCUUUCCUCCUUUGGUUCCUAUAACCCUUCCAUCAGUGGACUCUACCCUAGGAGUUUUCAAUAGCUCCCUUGAUUUCUCAUUAUCCUUUGUUCCUGUCUCUCCUGCAUCUACUGAUGGUGUUCUCCUCCUCCUUUCAUUUCUUCCUUCCAAAAAUCAAGUCUUGGAUCCUCUGGAACUUUGGUUCUUCUUUCCAUCAUGGGUUCUCUUAUCUUUUUAUUAUUUCAAAAUUGAACAGAACAGCCCUGGUUCUCGACUUCAUUAGUGUUGGCCUCCGUUUUCCUUCUUUGGUUCCUGUUUCUGGCCUUAUUCCAUUCAAGAGCUCUAGUCGAUGAUUCUGAUUUCUUCUGAUUUAUUUUAUUAUCCCGCCCUGGGUUCUGCUACUUUCUGCUUUGGUUCCUCUCCCUCUGGUCCUGGUCUUUAAAUUAAAAAUUCUUAAAUU
rnacentral:sRNA from 1 species